AAGAAAGGUGGCCUUUUAGCGACGACCCCUUUAGCGGCGACAACAAAUAAGUCGUCGCUAAAAGCCCAAUCCGUGUCCAGGCUUUAAAACCAAUCCCUGAUCGUUGAUCUUGGGUACAUCUGACGGUCCAGGUUUUAUUUAACUUUAGGAGUACAAAACCUAUGGCGGGCAAACCAUUCACUCAUUCCCCCCCAAAUCGAUCCACUGGCACUCCCCCCAAAUCGAUCCAUGAGCCCUCCCCCAAAUCCCACGGUGCUGCCAGAUUGCUUCAACCCGGCGACAGCCGUCGCUCGCCGCCACGACCUGCAGCCUUCGGAGUCAACUUACCUCCUCAGUCGCUCGCGCGCCGCACCUCGUCCGCUGCACCAGAUUUUAAAGUCAAAUAAUGUUGGGUGCAGCGUUGAGAGGGGGGAUGUUGAGAUAAUGAGAGGGCAUGGCUGAAAUUGUGUGCUUGGUAUAAGGUAGCAUCGUCAAAGAUUUGGAAAGAAAGUGCUUUCGGAUGCAUGGACUUUGGAUACCGCUCAAAAACUGUAUGAAUGGCUGAGGCUGAAUACAGAAGGAGAUAAACCUUCAGCUAGAAUGUAUGCUACAGCUGGUGCUCGCUCGGAUGGUAUGUUUUUGCUUUGUGGUGGAAGAGACACUUCAGGCGUGGUAGGACUUAGCGUUUAUGUGUAUGUUUUAUAGCGUUUAUGUGUAUGGACUCUUGCACCUGGAGUUUCACCGUCAUCAAGGUACCAACAUGCUGCGCCUGACAGGGUUACAGACAUCUGUAAUAGAAACAAACUUUAGUUGAUUAUAAGAGCACACGAAUGUGUAAUGAAUGGGUUCGAGCGAUUUGUUCACGGACAGUUAAUUACCCUUUUCUCUGCGACAAACUAUUGUGGGACUGCUAAUAAUGCUGGACCUUUACUAGUGAUCGGCAGAGGAUUGGUGGUUGUUCCAAAACUGAUUCACCCGUUGCCACCACCACUUGAACCAGAAACAUCUCCAAAAUCUGUUGAAGAGCGCCACUAGAUGCAGGUAAUGAUUUUUGGCUUUUUGAAGAAAAGAGGGUCGAUCCAAACAAAAUCUAUUUGAUUUCUAUCUUUCUAUUUGUCAAACUACAAAUGUUUGUCGUCCCCGCCACAACACGCGGGUUGAAAGCACUAGUUACUACCGUUUUAAUAUAGUGAUAUAAACAAACUGCUAUGUAAUUUUUGGUUGUUUGAAUGUGAAUUACUGUUUAAUUCUUUGUAUACUUAUGAACGUUUUGGUC